UGAGAGCGAGCGAGAGAGCGAGCCAGGGAACUUGGCCUCCUUCCGGCGCCCGCCCGCUCCAAAAGGGAGCGCCAACUUUCGCAGAUUCCAGCCCUCAGGAAUUUAAGGAUGGUGUGUACAAGCAGCAAUUGUUUUAGGUGCGUCAGAUAUUUGUGCAACUGAACCCCGAAGUGACCCAAAAACAUCACAAAAACAUCACAAAAGGGGCAGAAUAGGACAGGGGCGGAGACGGAAUGGGGGCUUUUUCAAUGGUGUUUCAGAUAUAUGCGAUUUCACUUAAACACAUGGUGCCGUGGAAUGUAAUUGCCAUGUAAAUUGGGAGUUGCCUGUACAAUAAAAUAAGCAGGUUCUUUGACCUUCUCUGAAGUUGUUUUAGGAAGGGAGCCUUGCUAGGUACCCGAGACAGGGAACAGGUAGGCACAAUAGAGCUAGCAUGAUGGAUACAAAGAGCAUUGGAGGGCUUUCUGAACUUGUUGAAAGUUAUCAGUACAAAACAUUCACAAGAUUUCACACGGACUUCAGAAGACCUUCUUGUGUUUAUAUAGUAUCAGUUUAGUUGGAAAUGAAGACACUAUGUCCUGUUACUGAACCCUUUAAAGGCCUUGAUUCAUUUGCCCUCAGUCUACAGGCUCGCAGUGUACUUAAGAGUUUGGAGAUGCAUCAGAGAGCACACGAGACGCUGGGGAAUGUGUGUCAGAGAUGUCUGUGAAGCUCAAGGCACGCGAAGUACCCUUCCGCAAAUAAAUUGCAGAAGCCCACCAGUGAAAUGAUGGCUUUUUAGGCAGAGAUCAGUUUUACCUCUUGAGACAUCAUUGCCAGAUUUCAGUAUGGACGUUGGGCACAGCCCUGGGAUGUAUUAUGUAGUCAUUGUAUUAUGUACAAUGUAUCUUGAGCUCAAAAAACAAACUGGCAAAACCAGUUUCCAUAAAAUAGUACAAGAAGAAACUUCUGUAAUAUAGUUCAGCAUGUUUUCUCAUUCAGGCACUUAAUAAGCCUUUGAAUAAUGUGAUUCAACAUACUGAGAGCCAUGUGGAAGAAAAGGAAAGAAUAAAAGGGAGUACAUUUCUUGGAUAACAUAAUGUAGCUUUCUUCCAUACUUGAGUUUUGUAUAAAAUUGGUAAGAUAAUGGUAGGUGACUGUAGUACUUAAUACCAGGAAACUAAAACAUAAAAUAUAGUAUAUUCUAUCUUGUUAAAGAGGCAAAGAAAAGAGAAACAUGGUCAGGUUAAAUGUAGGAAGUUGUAUGAAUCUUAGAACACCUGAUAAGUCUAUAUAUUAUUUGAAUUACUUUUAUAUUAGUUCUAUCAGCAAAAUCAUUUUUAAACAAUUUGUUGCAUGUAAACUGUAUGAAAAAUGUGCAGAUCUUUAAACCAUUUUUUUAAAAAAAUAAUGCAUAAAGAAACCAAGGGUUUUCGAUUGCAGUGAAAAUUACAGACAGGGACUCAACACAUUUAAUGGGAUAUUUCCCCCCUUUCCAUUUACACUAUCAUAAAUUACAAAGCAUAUUUCACUUCACAAAAUAAAACCAUUUCCAUACCAUUUUAUGACAGUAUUUAGUACAUAAACCUACAACAAUUGAAAUCUGUACAACUUAGGAGAAUCCCUUCUAGCACUGUACCAGCAAAGCAGACCUCACUUACAUCUGGCCUGCAGCCUGGGUCUGUCUACUUAGCCCUUGGUGACCUAUGUAAAGGAUAACUGAUAUACAUUAUUUCAUGUGCCUCCUUUUGUCUUUACUCUUUCUUCAUUAUCCAUGUUGCACACUCCCCACCCCAAUUUUAAUAGAAACCUAUGCUCCCUGAAAUAAUUCAGAAAACAGCAUAAUGGGGUUUUUGAAACUUAGGAUUUGUACAAAUCAAGAGCAGAGCUCAAUAGAGUCUUUUGUAUUGCAAAUUCAGUUUUGUAAUAAACUAUGCUACCUUUGUGUUUGAAA